CGUAGGCCGGAGAUUAAGCGUGUUGUGAAAUGUAGACGCUCAACGUCUGCACUGCAGCGCGAACUGGUUUCCUUGAGUACGCACAAAGUGGGCGGAAUUCGUGGUGUAGCGGUGAAAUGCUUAGAUAUCACGAAGAACUCCGAUUGCGAAGGCAGCUCACUGGAGCGCAACUGACGCUGAAGCUCGAAAGUGCGGGUAUCGAACAGGAUUAGAUACCCUGGUAGUCCGCACGGUAAACGAUGGAUGCCCGCUGUUGGUCUGAAUAGGUCAGCGGCCAAGCGAAAGCAUUAAGCAUCCCACCUGGGGAGUACGCCGGCAACGGUGAAACUCAAAGGAAUUGACGGGGGCCCGCACAAGCGGAGGAACAUGUGGUUUAAUUCGAUGAUACGCGAGGAACCUUACCCGGGCUUGAAUUGCAGAGGAAGGAUUCGGAGACAAUGACGCCCUUCGGGGCCUCUGUGAAGGUGCUGCAUGGUUGUCGUCAGCUCGUGCCGUGAGGUGUCGGCUUAAGUGCCAUAACGAGCGCAACCCCUCUCCUUAGUUGCCAUCAGGUCAUGCUGGGCACUCUGGGGACACUGCCACCGUAAGGUGUGAGGAAGGUGGGGAUGACGUCAAAUCAGCACGGCCCUUACGUCCGGGGCUACACACGUGUUACAAUGGCAGGUACAGAGAGACGGUCCCUUGCAAAAGGGAUCAAAUCCUCAAAGCCUGUCUCAGUUCGGACUGGGGUCUGCAACCCGACCCCACGAAGCUGGAUUCGCUAGUAAUCGCGCAU
rnacentral:rRNA from 1 species